UUCUGCGGCUGUGACAGGGUCGCUGAGAGCUGUCGGGAGGGACUGCCAGGCCACUGUCGCCAAGUGCGAUUUCAAGAACUUUCGGGCGGUUUCCUCUUUGUUUGGGCACGCGGGCCACAGUCGGGUUGUUACCCCCAGGGGAGGGGCGCGGCGAGGCGGGGGUGGGAGUUAGGAGUCUGCCCAACGAGAGGCCGUGGACAGGAUAUUAGUGGAAAUAAUGCAGUGGUUGUCAGGAAACGCGAAUGCAGCCACAUGGCUACUGCCAGUUAUGCAGCGAGGAUAUCCGGUGGCUGCAAAGUCUGUAAUUUAGAAUAAAAAGAGCUCUCUCAAGACCCGAGAGGCUGACCUCAGCGCCGCGUGGCGGUGGUGCGCCCGGCACCCUCCGUGGAGAAGGUCCAGGUUGUGACAGUCUAGACAAUGGAAAGGCAGUGGUCAAAUAGCAGGACAGAUGCCGGAGAAGGACUAAAUUCUGGAUCCUUUCUCUCCUAAGGAGGUAACACAGUCCUGGGAACCCAAUCUCACACUGUGUCUGGACAUAACUCUAAACAAGGUUUUUAAAGGCCACCUUAAUUUUUCAAGUUGUGGUCUUGUGGACUUUACAAAGUGGGUAAUGCUAUUUGACUGUUGUUCAAAAAGGCAGAAGUGUGUAUCUGCAGUGCCAUGGGGUUGAGAGGGAUACAGGAUUACACAGCUGUCUUCUUAGAUAAAUCUGACCUACUUAGCCUUCUCUGGAGGUAUUUUUCAUGCUGACUCAUGAACAACAGGAAAGUUUUGGCCCAUUAAGUAACAUCCAUGUUUUGAAGUAAACUUGUUCU